rnacentral:rRNA from 1 species
AGAGUUUGAUCCUGGCUCAGGACGAACGCUGGCGGCGUGCUUAACACAUGCAAGUCGAACGGUGACAUCAGAGCUUGCUCUGGUUGAUCAGUGGCGAACGGGUGAGUAACACGUGAGUAACCUGCCCUUGACUCUGGGAUAACUCCGGGAAACCGGGGCUAAUACCGGAUACGAGACGCGACCGCAUGGUCGGCGUCUGGAAAGUUUUUCGGUCAAGGAUGGACUCGCGGCCUAUCAGCUUGUUGGUGAGGUAAUGGCUCACCAAGGCGUCGACGGGUAGCCGGCCUGAGAGGGCGACCGGCCACACUGGGACUGAGACACGGCCCAGACUCCUACGGGAGGCAGCAGUGGGGAAUAUUGCACAAUGGGCGAAAGCCUGAUGCAGCGACGCCGCGUGAGGGAUGAAGGCCUUCGGGUUGUAAACCUCUUUCAGUAGGGAAGAAGCGAAAGUGACGGUACCUGCAGAAGAAGCGCCGGCUAACUACGUGCCAGCAGCCGCGGUAAUAC